rnacentral:rRNA from 1 species
AUAUCAAUAAGCGGAGGAAAAGAAACCAACAGGGAUUGCCUUAGUAACGGCGAGUGAAGCGGCAACAGCUCAAAUUUGAAAUCUGGCUCUUUCAGAGUCCGAGUUGUAAUUUGCAGAGGGCGCUUUGGCUUUGGCAGCGGUCCAAGUUCCUUGGAACAGGACGUCACAGAGGGUGAGAAUCCCGUACGUGGUCGCUAGCUAUUGCCGUGUAAAGCCCCUUCGACGAGUCGAGUUGUUUGGGAAUGCAGCUCUAAAUGGGAGGUAAAUUUCUUCUAAAGCUAAAUAUUGGCCAGAGACCGAUAGCGCACAAGUAGAGUGAUCGAAAGAUGAAAAGCACUUUGGAAAGAGAGUCAAACAGCACGUGAAAUUGUUGAAAGGGAAGCGCUUGCAGCCAGACUUGCUUGCAGUUGCUCAUCCGGGCUUUUGCCCGGUGCACUCUUCUGCAGGCAGGCCAGCAUCAGUUUGGGCGGUGGGAUAAAGGUCUCUGACACGUUCCUUCCUUCGGGUUGGCCAUAUAGGGGAGACGUCAUACCACCAGCCUGGACUGAGGUCCGCGCAUCUGCUAGGAUGCUGGCGUAAUGGCUGUAAGCGGCCCGUCUUGAAACACGGACCAAGGAGUCUAACAUCUAUGCGAGUGUUUGGGUGUCAAGCCCGAGCGCGUAAUGAAAGUGAACGGAGGUGGGAACCCGCAAGGGCGCACCAUCGACCGAUCCUGAAGUUUACGGAAGGAUUUGAGUAAGAGCAUGGCUGUUGGGACCCGAAAGAUGGUGAACUAUGCUUGAAUAGGGUGAAGCCAGAGGAAACUCUGGUGGAGGCUCGCAGCGGUUCUGACGUGCAAAUCGAUCGUCAAAUUUGGGCAUAGGGGCGAAAGACUAAUCGAACUAUCUAGUAGCUGGUUCCUGCC